GGGUUGUCAUGCCAAUGGCAUUGCCCGGUAGCUAAAUGCGGAAGAGAUAAGUGCUGAAAGCAUCUAAGCACGAAACUUGCCCCGAGAUGAGUUCUCCCUGACUCCUUGAGAGUCCUGAAGGAACGUUGAAGACGACGACGUUGAUAGGUCGGGUGUGUAAGUGUAGCGAUACAUUGAGCUAACCGAUACUAAUGAACCGUGAGGCUUAACCUUACAACGCCGAAG
rnacentral:rRNA from 1 species